UGGCUCAGAUUGAACGCUGGCGGCAGGCUUAACACAUGCAAGUCGAACGGUAACAUAAAGAAGCUUGCUUCUUUGAUGACGAGUGGCGGACGGGUGAGUAAUGCUUGGGAAUCUAGCUUAUGGAGGGGGAUAACUACGGGAAACUGUAGCUAAUACCGCGUAGAAUCGAGAGAUGAAAGUGUGGGACCUUCGGGCCACAUGCCAUAGGAUGAGCCCAAGUGGGAUUAGGUAGUUGGUGAGGUAAAGGCUCACCAAGCCGACGAUCUCUAGCUGGUCUGAGAGGAUGACCAGCCACACUGGGACUGAGACACGGCCCAGACUCCUACGGGAGGCAGCAGUGGGGAAUAUUGCGCAAUGGGGGCAACCCUGACGCAGCCAUGCCGCGUGAAUGAAGAAGGCCUUCGGGUUGUAAAGUUCUUUCGGUAGUGAGGAAGGCAUUUAGUUUAAUAGACUAGGUGAUUGACGUUAACUACAGAAGAAGCACCGGCUAACUCCGUGCCAGCAGCCGCGGUAAUACGGAGGGUGCGAGCGUUAAUCGGAAUAACUGGGCGUAAAGGGCACGCAGGCGGUGGCUUAAGUGAGGUGUGAAAGCCCCGGGCUUAACCUGGGAAUUGCAUUUCAUACUGGGUCGCUAGAGUACUUUAGGGAGGGGUAGAAUUCCACGUGUAGCGGUGAAAUGCGUAGAGAUGUGGAGGAAUACCGAAAGCGAAAGCAGCCCCUUGGGAAUGUACUGACGCUCAUGUGCGAAAGCGUGGGGAGCAAACAGGAUUAGAUACCCU
rnacentral:rRNA from 1 species